rnacentral:lncRNA from 1 species
UAUGGAGCCACCAUGUGAUCCCUGCAAGAGAAGACACCUGCAGCUGGUGUCCGAUAAGAUGAGUUUUUAUGGUUGAAACUUAAGACUGAGCUAGCAAAAAUCUGACUGAUGGUGUUUCUGCCCUCAAGAGGUCUAUCGUGCCCUUGGGAAGGUCUCCAGUCACUUGCCAAGAUGGUGCCUACAAUAGCCAGCUUAAAUUCCCACAGUACACCAAAGGCCCAAGUGAAGACAAGGAAUCCCCUUCCUUCGAGACAUCCUUCUUUUCUUGGUCAGGAACCCAGGUUCCUGAGAGUCUGCAGAGUCACCUCCCCCAGUCUUUACUGUAACACAUCUUCCCUGAUGACCUUCUGGUGUGGAAAUCCAGCUAGAAAUGAGAGCACUAACAGUUUUUUGCUGGGUGGUGGUGGCGCACACCUUUAAUCCCAGCACUCGGGAGGCAGAGGCAGGCAGAUCUCUGUGAGCUCGAGACCAGCCUGGUCUAUAAGAGCUAUUUCCAGGAUAGCCUCCAAAGCCACAGAGAAACCCUGUCUCAAAAAACCCAAAAAGCAAAAACAAAGAUAAAACAAAGCCACACACCCACCUGGGUUCUUGUGGCUUCUGCAGAAGCAGAUGGUUUCUGGUGGCCUCCCACGUGUGAAACAAACACUUGGUCACCUGUGCCCCUCUCGAACAUCUACCCCAGAUGAUCUUUCCUCAUUUUCCUAGUAUUAUUCUCACUGUCUCCAGUCUCUGGUGCAGUGUACAAACCCAGUGGCUUCUGGCUUGGAGACCGUCUGUAUAUGUCAUGUACACAGGCACGGGGAUAUUAAAUGUGCAGUGAUCCUCUUGUGUCCUCUAUCUGCAGAGGGUGAAGGGGCAAGCAGAACAGGGGGAGAGUGGAGACACGAGGAGACUGCCUUCACGCCCUUAAGUUUAGUGUAAUGCAUACCUUCAUUGUCAGCCAACUGCAUUUAAAAUAACCUAGCAGAGACAUCUUUGAGUUGUCUGGUUGUCAUUUCUACAGAGAUUUACUUUGGCGGGAAGACCCACCCUGUGCAUAGUGGUAUCAUCCAAUGGGCUGGCAUCCUGAAGUGAAUAAAAAGGGAAGAAGGAGAAAGCAAGAAUUCACCUCUCUCUGCUUAGUGACUGUAGAAACAAUAGGAAUAACUACCCCAUUCUCCAGCUGUAUUCUUCCCCCACCAUAACAAACUGUAUCCCUUUUACCUCAAUGGAUCGUUCCUGAAUUGCUUCAGUCAGGGAUCUUGAAACAUCAACAAGAAAAAGUAGCUAAUACAAGUGCCAGUCUCUGUGAUUCGUUUGGGGAUAGAACAUUCCUGCUGACUCACUCUAUUAGCUAAACGAUGGGGGCAGAUACACAAAUUCCCGAAGCGUCCUUCCUAUCCUAAUAGAUUCUACACCACAGGUCACAGAACCAACAAUGGGCCUCUGCCAACAUUAUAGCCUAUCUAUCCAUCUCAGAUAUACUUUCAGGAGACUCGACAGGUGACCCCAGCUUGGCUGCAUGAACCCACAGGACCCUCUGUGAGUCAGCAUUGGCCCAGUUAGACUUGUUCUUCUACCUUCCUCUGUAGACUGUCCCUUUGACCCGAGUGAUUUGGCUUCAACCUCACAUGAGCUCAGAAUUCGUGUUUGUCUGGAGCCUUUUGUACUUACCUUUCACUGCUCUCCAGAAAAUAAGUAUAUGGCCUAUACUGGGGUGUAUAAAAUGAUAUUUACUGUGUAUAUUUAUGGUGCAUCCUUGUGGGAUUUCAUUAACCUUCUGCCUACAGGGGCUGUAAGAAAUGAGAGUCCAUAGGUUAGAAGGCUCCUGCCUCCAGGGUUUUGUUGUAGCAGACUGAAUGAAUGGAUAAGGACAUCUUUAACACAGAGAGAAACAAUGGCGCUCUUCUGCCACACAGGAACAUCAGAAGAACAUUGAAAUGUCACAUUCUCCAACCUGUGUACUCCCAUGUUCAGGGGCCUGCUUUACACCAAUAGAGCAUUCAUCUUGUCUACUGCAUUAUUCUGUAAAGAGAUAUAAGCCUGACUUCCAGAACAGACUUCAUGUGACUGAAUGAGAUGAGAAUCUCCUUUUCAGCAGCAACUCCUUUCCCGAACAGCUUGAAAACCAAAGUCCCCCACAUAGCAUUGGUUCUCACCAUGUAGAUGCUUUGAAACUUGGGUCCCAGGACACACAUCCUUGCUCCUGAUGAGACUAAUCCAAUUGGAAGCAUCAUUCGACCAAGAGACUGUCUAUGGUAGAGGCUUGUGACCAGCUGGGAUAUUUUGGGGGUUUCUCUGUCCAGAAAGAAAGACAGAAGGUGAGAAUUGGGUUGGUACAGAACAACUCAAGCAGGCAUAGGCUAAUAUAUAAUCCUGUCUAUCAGAGUAACCAUCAUCAUAGCAACAUCCUAUAACUUCAAGUCUACUCAGUGGUCAGAGGGUUGGUUGGUUAUUGCUGUUGCUUUCUUUAAACAUGUCCUUGUGGUUGAGCAGGAGAUGAUAGAUAGAUAGAUAGAUAGAUAGAUAGAUAGAUAGAUAGGCCAUGAAUUAGGCAGCAUGUGAUGGGAUGUUCAUAUGGAAAGAGCUGGAGAGAUGAAAGACAUUGGGGAAAAUAGUGGAAUUGAUUUACAAUUUAAUUCCAUUUUAAUCAAAAAACUUAAGAGUACAACAAAGAUCCUUUAAUCAAGAGAGGCUUAGAACUGAAUCAGGACGGAUGGAAAAUGUUGUGAUGAGUGGGGAGGCACACAGAAACCUUAUCUGCAGCCUCUCUAUAGACUGCUGGAAGGAAAGCAACCUGAAGGGCAUGCACACAACUUGGAGGAAAAAUACAUAAUAACUAUGGCAAAACCCAAAGAUGAUGGUGACUUUCAGGCAUGGCUUGCCAAUCUGUGCCAGUUGAGCAUGAAGCUGAAUAUUGAAACUGAGCUCCUGUAGGUCUGGGAAGAUGGAGGAGAUGGAGCCCUUCUUCUACUACUGUUUGGAAAUACACAGUGGUGGGCUGAGUUUACUCUGGAAACAAAGCAACAUUCACCAGGAGUGAACCUGGAGCAGUUUCUGCCCCUUGACAGGGCCAGAGUUUGAACAGCUGGUUCUCUCUGCUGGGCUCCAGAAGGGGGUUGUGCUUCUGUUGUCCAAGCACAAAGUGUGAUUCAUGGACCACACACCAAACCACAAUCAGGGCUGUGAUGCUGCUACUCAAGGGAGCACAGAAUGCAUGUGCCAUGCAUGACUGGAAAGAUCACUUUCCAGUGAACACACCCCUGCCAGCAGAGCAAUCACGGAAGGACAAUAAUAACUCAGAGCUCGGGGUCGUCUGGAUCUUGACUAGACUACACCAGAGUACCACUGAUCUAUUGCAGGGAAGAGGUUCUUGGUUUGGCUACAGAUGGAGAAAACAGGUUCUGAAGCUCCCUCUUGCAUCUCCUCCAAGCUGGGAUAAGCACUGAUUGACUCAGGGACUUCACGUGUUUCAGCCACUUUCACACUUUCCAUCUCAAGCUUGAAUACAGUUGACAGAGGGAGCACUAAUUAGUUAAUCAGAGCUGUUAAAAGAAUUCCAUACAUGUAUAAGACCAAGCAAAUGAAGAAAGGAGGAGGAGGAGGAGGAGGAGGAGGAGGAGGAGGAGGAGGAGGAGAAGAAGAAGAAGAAGAAGAAGAAGAAGAAGAAGAAGAAGAAGAAGAAGAAGAAGAAGAAGCUAUCAAUUUGAGAGUGGGGGUAUAGAAGGGGUGGGUGAGAGGGAGGAGAGGAAAGGAAGAAAGUGAUGUAAUUCUAUUUCAAUUAAAAACAUUGUUUUUUUUUUUAAAGAAUCAGGAUGUUUUAAAAAUAUGAAGACACUAAGCCCACAAUAUUUUUAAAGGAAUAAAUUAGUGAAAAGAGGGCAGGCUCCUUACUCAGAAUCACAGCAUAGCUUGAAACACAGGAGAGUGAUCCACAGGCCGUCAUUGCAGAAUUCACUUCCUCCCCCGGGAAUUUGAUCAGUCUGAUUUUUGCAGACCUGAAAUACUCCAGGUUAUGUGCACUGGGCCUUCCUGGCCACAGCCUAUACCAGAUCUACAUCCUAAAUUCUCAGACUCCAUUGCCUUUGAAUAUUUUCACAACAAAGAGGGACAUCAAGUAGUAUAAACCAAAUAAUGCAGCUUCUGAGACCUCAAAAUGCAGCUUGGAUAAUUUAUGAUUUGUAUGGUAAUUUAUUUAAACAUCCUUCCUGCUAGACAAAUAAAUUGUUUUCAGAGUGGUUUCUAUUACAAAAAAUAAUACGGUGUGCUUAUAUAAGCAUGUAUGUUUAUCUUAAAAAAAUUUUUUUUUAAACUGGGAGCAAAAUAUCCUGGGGAAUAGUGGAAGUUUGAGAGACUGGUCCGGGCAGAUGGCACCACACUUCUACAGGCUUGCAUAGCACUUAAUAUCCCUUCCACACGGAUGCACUUUGCUUGCUCUGAAAACUUAAUUAAUGUUGUUGAUCAAUUAAUUGCAAGCAAGAGGGGAGGCAAAAAGCCUUGAGAAUGUCUGAAAUGCUGUUCUAGUAUGCCACAUUUACAUAUUACUCACACAGCAGGCACAGUUGAGGUGCCUCGAGUAAUAUUUGAGAACACAGUUAUGUACAUUGAAAGAAAAAAAAUUUAAAGGGCUUUAUAGGUCAAGAGGAGGCUAUUAAACAGAUUUCACAGAUUACUAAGUGACAGCGUUAGGAGUAGCAGAUGUGUAUUGGACUUACGUGGAACUUUUUAUUUAAUGUAAUUUAUUAAAUAUUAAAUAUAAC